GACGAACGCUGGCGGCGUGCCUAACACAUGCAAGUCAACUUGAAGGAAGGAGCAAUCUGACCUGAUGGUGGCGCAAGGGUGCGUAACGCGUAAGUAACUUGCCCAAGGUAAGAAUAACGUCGAGAAAUCGGCGCUAAUACCUCAUAAUGCAGCGGAUCCGCAUGGAUAUGUUGUUAAAGGUUUACCGCCUUGGGAUAGGCUUGCGUCUGAUUAGCUAGUUGGUGUGGUAAUGGCACACCAAGGCUACGAUCAGUAACUGGUCUGAGAGGAUGAUCAGUCACACUGGAACUGAGACACGGUCCAGACUCCUACGGAGGCAGCAGUGAGGAAUAUUGGGCAAUGCACGAAAGUGUGACCCAGCAACGCCGCGUGGAGGAU
rnacentral:rRNA from 1 species